CGUCUAUAUACGUAUAGCAUAUCAAUAAGCGGAGGAAAAGAAACUAACAAGGAUUCCCUUAGUAACGGCGAGUGAAGCGGGAAGAGCUCAAAUUUGAAAUCUUCAAGGUUCUACCUUGACGAAUUGUAGUUUAUAGAAGUGUUUUCUGUUAGGUGUAGUGGCUAAAAGUUCUUCGGAAUAGGACAUCAUAGAGGGUGAGAAUCCCGUAUUUGGUCAUUCCUCCUAGCGUUGUGAUACACUUUCAACGAGUCGGAUUGUUUGGGAAUGCAGUCCAAAAUGGGUGGUAAAUUUCAUCUAAAGCUAAAUAUUGGCGAGAGACCGAUAGCGAACAAGUACCGUGAGGGAAAGAUGAAAAGAACUUUGAAAAGAGAGUUAAACAGUACGUGAAAUUGUCAAAAGGGAAGCGUUUGACACCAGUGUUGUUUUCUCGAAAAUCAAUUACGAAUGUUUUAUUUUUGAGGAGUUAUGACUUCAUCGGCUUGCUCCUUUCUUUAUGAAACUUUCUUAAUGCACUUUUCGGUUAACAAGUCAACAUCAAUUUCUUUUGUUGUAAAAGGGUAUGAGGAAGGUGGCUUUCUUUUCGGAGAAAGUGUUUAUAGCCUUGUGCCUCUGCAAUCGGAGAGAUUGAGGUCUGCAGCGUAGAUCCUUCGGGGUUAGAUACAGUUUGUGCUAAGUUAUAGCUUUUCAUAGACAACUUGUUGACUAUGUUUAGUCUUGUAGCUUACUCGCUUAUGCUAUUUUACCUACGCUUAGGAUGUUGACUGAUAUGUAGUCGUA
rnacentral:rRNA from 1 species